rnacentral:rRNA from 1 species
AUGACGAGGAAGCACUCGCCGCACUGCUGGAGGAGGACCGGCUUCCAGGAAGAAGAGCAUCUCAUGGUGCUCACCGCCCUCGCCCAGCUGCUGGCGAGCAAUGAAAAGUCGCGGCGAGGUGGCUCGGCGGCGGGGCGGGUGAAAGCAAAGAACCGGCAUCGUCUCGAAGGCUACUGCAUGCUCUACUCCGACUACUUCGCCGAUGCUCCACUUCACGGCGAGAAAACAUUUCGGCGCUGUUAUCGGAUGAGCCGAAAGCUCUUCCUCAGGAUUGUGAAUUCCAUCCGGGAGUUCGACAACUACUUCGGUCGACAUUUGUGA